CUUGCCUGCUGUGAGGUGAACAGUUUUGCCUUUUGUGCCCUUUCACUAUGAUGUAUAUCUCGUCACAAUCCAGAGUCAAUGUAGCCAGCAAUCUGAGGGCUGAACACUCUGAAGAAAUAUAUAAUCAGUUGAGAAGAGAGAACUUCUAGACAUUGGUCAAGUUGGCAAAUACAUGAAAUAGCUUCUGCUCAAGACUCAAAGAACAAGCAGCAGCAGAUCAGAGGCCCAUGCUAACACACGUGCUUCUUCAUGGUGCUUGCUCUCACCCAUCGGUAUCAAAAGGCACUUUGGAAGACUGUUAUCAACUCCAUUUGCACACGCACAGAAGCCAUUUUUCACCAAAUAUUUACCUGAAUGCUGCCUUUGAGUCAAGUUAAGUGGACCACAAAUUUACUCUCUUAAAACAUUCAUGUAAACAUGUGAGCUAUUUAUCCUUUCUAACAUGAAUCUAGGACAGUAUAAAUUAAUUCUAAAUAUGUAGGUGGAAGAGAUGGAAGUCAACAUGUUUUAUUUUGAAAGUUAAAAUGCUGAAGUAACUGGGAAAUGGCUAGAAGUCAGGAGACAGCCUUGUGGGGGAAAUGAGGGCUUUGGACGCAGAAAACUUAGAAUUGAUUCCCAGUACUGUAAUUAACCAGCUGUGGGACUUUGUUCAAGAUCAACCUCUCCACUUCACUUCCUGACCUAUACAAUGGAUAAAAUGGUAACCUGCCUUGGCCUCUUGGAACCCAAUUUCCUCUCUGGAUACCUGAUAAUUUUGUCUGGUCAGGUUCAUGCCAGCGUUCACCUGUUUUAUAGCACCUCACAUCCCCACCAUUCAACCCCAGCUGACCAUGUGGGUCAAGGGCUGGACUAGGACUGGAAAGAAAGUAUGUUGUACAUUCUAAUUUUUCUUUCAAAUAACACAAAUAUAAAUACAAAAUCCAGCCUCUAACCAAU
rnacentral:lncRNA from 1 species